rnacentral:rRNA from 1 species
AUGAACGCUGGCGGCGUGGAUGAGUCAUGCAAGUCAAACGGGUCCUUCAAUUUUCGCAAGAAAAUUUCAGGAUCAGUGGCAGACGAGGUAGUAACACGUAGGAACCUACUCCCGAGACGGGAAUAAUUCGCCGAAAGGCGGACUAAUACCCGAUAGCCUCGCAAGAGUAAAUCGAGCAAUCGGCUCGGGAAAGGGCCUGCGUCGUAUCAGCUAGUUGGUAGGGUAAUGGCCUACCAAGGCGUAGACGCGUAGGGGCGCUGAGAGGCGGACCCCCACCGAUGGAACUGAGACACGGUCCAUACACCUACGGGUGGCUGCAGACGAGAAUAUUCGACAAUGGGCGAAAGCCUGAUCGAGCGACGCCGCGUGAUGGAUGAAGACCCUCUGGGUCGUAAACAUCUUUUGUGGAGGAGAAAGUUCCGAAAUUUAUUUCGGAAUUGAUAGUACUCCAAGAAUAAGGGGUUGCUAAACUCGU